rnacentral:rRNA from 1 species
CCUACGGGUGGCAGCAGUGAGGAAUAUUGCACAAUGGGGGAAACCCUGAUGCAGCGACGCCGCGUGAGUGAAGAAGUAUUUCGGUACGGAAAGCUCUAUCAGCCGGGAAGAAAAUGACGGUACCUGACCAAGGAGCCCCGGCUAACUACGUGCCAGCAGCCGCGGUACUACGUAGGGGGCAAGCGUUAUCCGGAUUUACUGGGUGUAAAGGGAGCGUAGACGGCAGCGCAAGUCUGAAGUGAAAUCCCAUGGCUUAACCAUGGAAUUGCUUUGGAAACUGUGCAGCCGGAGUGGAGGAGAGGUAAGCGGAAGUCCGAGUGUAGCGGUGAAAUGCGUAGAUAUGAGGAGGAACACCAGUGGCGAAGGCGGCUUACUGGACUGUAACUGACGUUGAGGCUCGAAAGCGUGGGGAGCAAACAGGAUUAGAUACCCGGUAGUC